UACGAAGGGUGCAAACGUUGUUCGGAAUUACUGGGCGUAAAGGGCGCGUAGGCGGCCUGCUAAGUCGAACGUGAAAUCCCCGAGCUCAACUCGGGAACUGCGUCCGAUACUGGCAGGCUUGAAUCCGGGAGAGGGAUGCGGAAUUCCAGGUGUAGCGGUGAAAUGCGUAGAUAUCUGGAGGAACACCGGUGGCGAAGGCGGCAUCCUGGACCGGCAUUGACGCUGAGGCGCGAAAGCCAGGGGAGCAAACGGG
rnacentral:rRNA from 1 species